GAGAAAUUCAUGUUAUUAUUGGGCAUGCACCAAAAUGUGGUGGGUUACGUACAUUUAAUAUUUAUGAUUUAAUAUUUAUGAUGUAGAAACCAACAAAUGAAUCCCAUUCCCCCAUUAAAAAAAAAAAAAUACUAUAUCUAAUCUAAAAACUAUAACUAGAAAAUUAGAAAAAUUCCAUCUCAACUUCACCACCACCUCCCGCUACAAUAUAACCGUACAAAUCGGUGUAUUGGAUUUUAUGGGAGUAACGGGUGAGCUUUUUCCAUCAGGACUCAGUGCCGCGUCACCACUAGGUCACAUGGCCCAUGCAUCGAAAAGUGCAAACGACCAAAAUAGUAGGGGUCCACGAACAAUACGACAAAUCCCAUUCCGGCCAAAAAUUGUAUUUGCCUUUUUUUGUAGCUUCCUCAGCCUACCCUUUCGCCACAUUUAUAUAAUUAGCCAGCUAAUUAACGAGUUAGAACUCAGAAGAGAUGUCUCAACUGCCAAAUUGCUACUGUGACGGUGACUAUCCUCGCAAUGGCAUUUGAGCCGAACACGUGGGUACGCGUGGACGGUGAUGCUCCACUUUGGUCCAAGGCUGCACCUUCAUAAACCAUGGUGCUGUUGACUGUGCUUGUAAUUGCACCAUCUGUGUUCUGACCCUGCGAAGCUUUCUGGCUGCAAAAUCACCCAACAACUAUCCGUUAGGGUCUGUAAGAUGGUAACAUAAACAUUGCUUAUAGAAAAAAACAUAAAAAACUAUCCACUUGCGCUUUUAGGAUUGGGAGUCAGAUUAGCUACCAUCACUGGCAGUUACGAAGUUGGGUUUGGGGAAUGCGCAUCACUGUAAAGUUAUAUAGGGAUUCGGGAAUAGCUUGUAGGCUUGUGCGUCUUUGUUUCGGAUUCUGCCCCCUGCUUUAAAGACCCCGCAUGCGGCGUGGCUUUCGCGUAAAGCCAGAAACGAUUAUAAACUAAUUACUUUUUUUUGUCUACUACAGUAUAUAACCAAUUUCUUAAUUUUGCUCGAAAAGACUAUAAUGCCCCCCUUCAAUAAUGCAAAUUACUGCCAGCCAUAUAAAUUAUACACAUAGAGCUGAAGUGACUUGAUGCUUUGGUAAAUGUCAGAACUGCCAAAGUAAUCUCAGAUAUUCUUUGUUUAGCAGCAACGUUAAAAUUCGGGUGUUGUGUCAGAGGACAAAAUUAACCCAACGUUCAUGUCUACUCUACAUGCCCUUAAUUUUUCCAACGGUCAUAUAUAAUUACCUUUUGGACGGUUAAACUGCUGUAAAUCAGUAAAAAAGCGAGAAAUUAAUUAUUUACCUUGUGUUAGGGGUUGGGCAAAAGGUUAUGAGGUAAUUCGCGGAGAUACAUGUGAAGGUGCUCGUCUUGUCAUCGUAAGCGUAGCUGUAGGCGUCUGGACACGCGUUCUUGAAGAUCUCAGAGUAGGAGGACGGCUUGCAAGUGUCGGGUGUAGCAUAUGCGCCAUUGCAACAGUAUUGUGGUUGCCUGAAAGCUUCACACGCGCUUUUGCAAGCAACGCUGUCGCCGGCGGAGCUCGUAACCUUAAGCUCCGAAGGACACAAGCCGUUCAAAUCCACCACGCAGCCGGUUCUUGAACAAUUCUGCCCGGAGCCACCCUGAGGCACCACCAGCAGAGGGAGAUUGUACCCAUCUACAAGACUCACAUCGAAAUAAUCCAUUCCACCAUAGCCGUCCAGCUUGAACUCUGCCAGUGUAGCCGGAGGAGCAGCUCCGCUGCCUGAGCAUUCUAGCUUACCAGAGCCGCAAUCACCUGUUAAGCAAGAGAAUUUUCCAGUGGAGUCUUCGGAGCAAAAUGUUCGACCCCACAUGCGGCCACCCCAUGAAGUAGGUGCGGUGAUGGUCUUUGUCUCACCCUUUUGGAGGGCGAAACCGGUGGUAGAAAGCGCCGGCUCAUCAGCGUUUGAGAGAAUGCCUGGCCAUACGGUAUAUUCACACUUAUUUGUUAUCGUAAAGGUAGUUGAAACAACG
rnacentral:misc_RNA from 1 species